rnacentral:tRNA from 1 species
GGGAAUGUAGCUGAGAUGGCUGUAGCGCUAGGUUGAAGCCCUAGAGACGCGGGUUCAAUUCCUGCCGUUCCCA